GAUACUAGGGUAAAAAGGUCUAAAAUCCGUUGCAAGCUUGCUUGCAGGAGGAUUUUUGAACUUGGGAGCCGCCAAAAACAUGAGUAAGGAGCCAUUUUUUGAAGAAAAAUGAGCGGAUUACGAAUGUUUUUAGAAUUGCGGGAGUGUAAAGCACGUAGCAAUUCGGU
rnacentral:sRNA from 1 species